rnacentral:rRNA from 1 species
AUUGAACGCUGGCGGAAUGCUUAACACAUGCAAGUCGAGCGCCCCGCAAGGGGAGCGGCAGACGGGUGAGUAACGCGUGGGAAUCUACCCUUUCCUACGGAAUAGCUCCGGGAAACUGGAAUUAAUACCGUAUACGCCCUUAGGGGGAAAGAUUUAUCGGGGAAGGAUGAGCCCGCGUUGGAUUAGCUAGUUGGUGGGGUAAAGGCCUACCAAGGCGACGAUCCAUAGCUGGUCUGAGAGGAUGAUCAGCCACAUUGGGACUGAGACACGGCCCAAACUCCUACGGGAGGCAGCAGUGGGGAAUAUUGGACAAUGGGCGCAAGCCUGAUCCAGCCAUGCCGCGUGAGUGAUGAAGGCCUUAGGGUUGUAAAGCUCUUUCACCGGAGAAGAUAAUGACGGUAUCCGGAGAAGAAGCCCCGGCUAACUUCGUGCCAGCCGCCGCCGUAA